UGGGGAAUAUUGGACAAUGGGCGCAAGCCUGAUCCAGCAAUGCCGCGUGUGUGAAGAAGGCCUUCGGGUUGUAAAGCACUUUUAUCAGGAGAGAAAUACCACGGGUUAAUACCCUAUGGGGCUGACGGUACCUGAGGAAUAAGCACGGGCUAACUUCGUGCCAGCAGCCGCGGUAAUACGAAGGGUGCAAGCGUUAAUCGGAAUUACUGGGCGUAAAGCGUGCGUAGGUGGUGAUUUAAGUCUGCUGUGAAAUCCCCGGGCUCAACCUGGGAAUGGCAUUUGAUACUGGAUCGCUAGAGUUUUAUAGAGGAUGGUGGAAUUCCCGGUGUAGCGGUGAAAUGCGUAGAGAUCGGGAGGAACAUCAGUGGCGAAGGCGGCCAUCUGGAUCAACACUGACACUGAGGCACGAAAGCGUGGGGAGCAAACAGG
rnacentral:rRNA from 1 species